rnacentral:tRNA from 1 species
GCGGCUGUAGCUCAGUUGGCUAGAGCGUCUGCUUGCCAUGCAGAAGGUCGUGGGUUCGAGCCCCAUCAGCCGCU